rnacentral:ncRNA from 2 species
UUAGACUACCGGGGGUGCUGCUUAAGUACUGCUUAAGCGGCUGAGACGGGAAAUUUUCCCGAACCCUUGAACCUGUUUGGGUAAUGCCAGCGGAGGGAAGGUAGUAAAAGUGUGAA